UGGCCCCUCGUCUAAUGGCAAGACCCCGGCCUUUGGAGCCGGUAAUCCAGGUUCGACCCCUGGGGGGCCAA
rnacentral:tRNA from 1 species